AGUUACUGUAACCACCUAGAUUGCAAGAAACCUUUCCUUUGUGGGCUAGCCAAGUGGGCAGGAGUAAAGGAUCACUUAGCUAUGGUGAAGUGUCCUCCUGUAGCUUUUCCCUAUCAGUUGACUCUGAAUGGAGGAUGACAACACACUAUUCGGCUGCUCUAUCUGCACUGCUACUAUACCAAGUGGUGUGACUGGCUGAUGCCUCUUUGCACUUCCCAUCCUCCAGAAACCCCUGUAAGGAUUUUCAAAGAAAUUUUACCUUGCUCCAGAACUAUGGGACCUCCUUCUUCUCAGUUGUCUGUUCAGACUCUUGGCAUCUUGUAGGGAGUAGAGGAAUUACUUUUGUGUUUGUCCUGUGUUGGGGAUGUUUGGAUUAAUUUUGCCAAAAACUUGGGAUGCUUGGCUAACAGCAAGCCUCGGACAUUGAAUUUACAACUACACAGACAUUGAGAGAACUCCAGAGGGAUUUACCUAACUUCAGAAGUGUGGAGACAUUUCGGGGUUGUGAAGCUUGUGAGAAAGGUCUUAUUUUUUUCUGGAAAAUUUAUACCCUGGUAAUAUCUAAGGAAACAUUCUGGGAAGGAGGGAGGUAUGUGUAUGGGGGUGGGUCUAGGGAAUAGUCUCUCUGGCUUUCGUGAGCAAAGAAAAUAUAUAUUUCUUCAUUCUUUGCUUAUGAUGCGCAUAUAGCAUGCCAUAGGACAUUUGACCUGGCCUUCAUUGCAUUGUCUCAGGAGCAAGAAUCAGCUGUGGGGGACCACACAGUUAUUAUUGUCUUUAUAAUUGAAUAAUAACAGUGUAUCUUGUCCAGAAUAAUUUGUGUGUUCCUUCAAGAUGAAAUUGAUAAAAUGAAUCUUCAAAACACAAUAUAAUUCAGUGCAAACUUCUAAUGUAAAUGAUCUUCAACUUUCACAUAAUUCAACCCUGUAUAUUUUGAGUGACCAUUGUCCCUAUGCUAAUUCCUGAAUCUUCUUCCCACUCUCCUUUCUUCUUCACUCCCUAUAGUAAUACAAAGCUAUAUACUUAAAAAGUUAUAUCUAAAUCACAAUAAAAUAAUGUGUUAUCAAACUACUCUCAAAAAUACGAUCAAGUUUAGGAAUAUGAAAGGUCGUUGGGGUAAAACUAACCAAGGGGACAUAAAAAUCAGAGUUCAAAAGAAAAGAGCCAGUGAAGCGGUUGAAGCUCAAGUGCAGCCUUAUAAGGCCUGCAGUCGUGGCCUGAGCCACACUCAGGCUUGUGAAUUGGGCUUCAAGAGGACUAUGGCCAGUGGUAAGCUGAUGAAUGCUUAACAGCCAAUUCUUGGGGCUUGAUUGUAG
rnacentral:lncRNA from 10 species